AGCGAACGCUGGCGGCAGGCCUAAUACAUGCAAGUCGAACGGCUCUUCGGAGCAGUGGCGGACGGGUGAGUAACGCGUGGGAACGUGCCCUUUGGUUCGGAACAACACAGGGAAACUUGUGCUAAUACCGGAUGUGCCCUUCGGGGGAAAGAUUUAUCGCCAUUGGAGCGGCCCGCGUUGGAUUAGGUAGUUGGUGGGGUAAAGGCCUACCAAGCCUACGAUCCAUAGCUGGUCUGAGAGGAUGAUCAGCCACACUGGGACUGAGACACGGCCCAGACUCCUACGGGAGGCAGCAGCAGGGAAUCUUGCGCAAUGGGCGAAAGCCUGACGCAGCCAUGCCGCGUGAAUGAUGAAGGUCUUAGGAUUGUAAAAUUCUUUCACCGGGGAAGAUAAUGACGGUACCCGGAGAAGAAGCCCCGGCUAACUUCGUGCCAGCAGCCGCGGUAAAAC
rnacentral:rRNA from 1 species